rfam:Myotis davidii contig9163, whole genome shotgun sequence.
AGCUUUGCGCAGUGGCAGGAUGGUAGCCAAUGAGGUUUAUCCGAGGCGCGAUUAUGGCUAAUGGUUUAAAAAAGAAAAAGAAACAGCACACAGGGAGAUGAUCUCUCUGAAAAGCAAGUUGAAGUUACUUUUUGUAAAAG